CGUGUCGUGAGAUGUUGGGUUAAGUCCCGCAACGAGCGCAACCCUACUUGCUAGUUACCAUCAUUAAGUUUGGGGACGUCUAGCGAGACUGCCAGUGAUAAACUGGAGGAAGGUGGGGAUGACGUCAAAUCAUCAUGCCCCUUAUGACCUGGGCUACAAACGUGAUACAAUGGCUGGAACAAAGGGAUGCGAAGCAGUGAUGUGGAGCGAAACCCAUAAAAACAGUCUCAGUUCGGAUUGAAGUCUGCAACUCGACUUCAUGAAGUCGGAAUCGCUAGUAAUCGCGGAUCAGAACGCCGCGGUGAAUACGUUCUCGGGGUUU
rnacentral:rRNA from 1 species